ensembl:lncRNA
AUGUCUGUGUCCGUGUGUAUGGAGCCAUUGGGUGCGGUCACUAUAGCAACCAGGCUCACACCUGCCUGCUUAACGAGCUCUCUCUGCCACUCUGCCAAGAUUCAUCUUAAACACUUCUCUUUCAACUGCUGCUGUGUCCACAGUGUUACAGCCAUCAUUUUACCCUCAAAACGUUGUUCUCUUUCCAACAUCUUGUCUUUCAAAGCUCAGAGAUGUAAACUUUUUAAACUGUGUGGAUCCAAGUGGAGGGAUCACAUUUUAGUCAUUCAGUGAUUCAAAGAAUAUGAACUUUUAAUAUUCAUUCGAUGUUUUCUGACUCUAAAUUUUCUUUUCUCAUUUCUUAGGGUUUUCUAAUUUACAAUUAAAACAUUUUCAGCUUUUUUCCAACUUCUUCUUCUGUGUAACCUUCAGCUUUUAGCAGUUCAGCACUUUUGUUUUCAGGUUAAAUUCGGGUUGUUUUUUUUUUAUCUCAUUCAAUAUUUUUAACUCAAAAUUCAGUAAUUAAUUCAUUUCAGUGCAUACAUUCAGAUUCAAGCAUUCACACUGCAGUUUCUUCAGAAAAUGCACUUUCUAGUUAUUAGUGUGAAUGCUUGAAAAGCAUUCACAGUAUUGUUGUUGUAAUCUUUAUUAUUAUAUUUUAUUAUUAUUAUUAUCUAUUCCGUACGUUUUUUGAAAGCCUACUCCUUCAAAACCGUUCAACUUAGAAAAACCAUUCAAACACCAUUAGAUUCCUAUUCUUUUGGACAACAUUGCUUCUAUUUUUUCUCAUUUUUAACAUUUAUAUUUUUAAUUUUAUUCAACUUUUUUCAACAAAAAUUUAUAAUGUAUUUCAAUGGGGAGACCCUUCAAAUUCUCAUUCAACUUCCUCCUCUUUAAACUGUAUCUACUUCCACAUACAUUGACAUAGAGCCACCAUUCAAACUUUAAAACGAAGACAAGACAUUCAACUAUUCAACUUGUAUUUAUCUUUUCAAUAUCUAUUAUACUUUUUCUUCAGUUCCAGUUUAAGUUUCAUGAUGUUUUUUCACCCGUUU